rnacentral:tRNA from 2 species
GGCUAGGUAGCUCAGUUGGUAGAGCAGCGGACUGAAAAUCCGCGUGUCGACGGUUCGAUUCCGCCCCUAGCCACCA